CGUGAACCAUCGAGUCUUUGAACGCAAGUUGCGCCCGAGGUUAUCUGGCCAAGGGCACGCCUGCCUGGGCAUCACG
rnacentral:rRNA from 1 species